CCUACGGGUGGCUGCAGUGGGGAAUAUUGGGCAAUGGGCGCAAGCCUGACCCAGCAACGCCGCGUGAAGGAAGAAGGCUUUCGGGUUGUAAACUUCUUUCAAGAGGGAAGAGCAGAAGACGGUACCUCUUGAAUAAGCUACGGCUAACUACGUGACAGCAGCCGCGGUAACACGGAGGUGGCAAGCGUUGUCCGGAUGUACUGGGUGUAAAGGGCGUGUAGCCGGGCUGACAAGUCAGAUGUGAAAUCCCGUGGCUCAACCACGGAACUGCAUUUGAAACUGCCGGUCUUGAGUAUCGGAGAGGCGGGCGGAAUUCCUGGUGUAGCGGUGAAAUGCGUAGAUAUUAGGAGGAACACCAGUGGCGAAGGCGGCCUGCUGGACGACAACUGACGGUGAGGCGCGAAAGCGUGGGGAGCAAACAGGAUUAGAUACCCCGGUAGUC
rnacentral:rRNA from 1 species